AAUACAAGCGCAAACAAAUUUUCAAUUGUUGACUGCACAUUUGUUAGCAGCAAGAGUAAACAUCCUAAAUGUGUCUACACCAGUUUAACUCGCAAUGCAAAGAUUAUACUCAUAUGUGAAAAUGGUCAACCUAUAAAAUUUAAAGGUGCUCUGAGAACAUAGGUUUUUGUGACAUAUUCCUAAAAUGGUUAUUUUGGUUUACAUCAUGAUGUGGUUUUGGAUCUGCUUCAUACGAUUCAUUUUCUGCAGUUCAAUAAUGAAAGCGAUGAAACUAUAAUAACAGUCAAGCAAUGUGUUUCUCAUCCAGUACUUACUUAUUGUACAAUUUCAUCUCUAUUCAUAUUGUAAACACAUAGAUGUCAUUUCCUGCCACACUCACUGUAACCAAAGAAUAAACUUGCUGUAAUCAAACUGUGGAUGGAUAAAUAUUCAUACUGAUCACGGACAUACAGUAGUUGUUUCCUUUGUUUCUAUACACUAUACUGUAUACUGUACUGGGCCAUUUUUAAUCAGCUUUAAUUAGACAUGAGCUGUCCAGCUACCAUUAGUGAACCUGUUCCUACCUUCCAUGACAAGCAUGUCAAAGUGAUAGAACUUGCACUGCUGAUGCUUUUGACUACUGAUCAGCUCAAUCAUGUCAGGAUCCCUGUGUUGCCCUGCCAGUCAUUCUCUCUCUCUCUCUCUCUCUCUCUCAUGUCAAGCCCAUUUUCUAAUUUCCCAUCUGUCCCAAUCAUCUGGUCAUUAGCUAAUUUUUACUAAUUUACCUGUGCCUGCCCUUGUGACAUACCAUAAGAACUAUGGAGACAGACCUGCCUUGUUUCUGCCUUGUUGCCUUCCAGAAGAUCCAGGUCGUGCACACUUUCCUUGUACUGUACCAUGUGUUAGUCAUAUUCGCCAAUUGUUGUAAACCAUAUACUGUAAGAUGUGCAGUGUAGUAAAAGUGAAGCUUUGUGAAACACUUAGAGACUUUGAUAUGGUCAGAACAUUGACAUCUGCUAGAACUACAUCAAAGCACUGUAUCAGUGAAUGUUUGAUAAUAUUCACUGAUACAUGGUUGUUCAGGAUCACAUUCCAUAUUAUUCUCAAAUAAAAGUUAUUUAAUCAAAGGUGUGUAAUUCUGUUUCUCAGUGGAUAAUAAUAUAUUAGUAGCAUUGAUAUGGCAAAUAUGUUUGAGAGUCAGGUGUUAAUAAUACUGUUUUUAGGUGCUUCUGCAACUGUUUUUUACAACAUUAAUGAGUCUUGUUUGUCAUUUUGUUAAAUCAAAGACCUCAUCAUGUCACAUGACGUGUUGACACCUCACUCGCAUUUGUGAUAUCAUGUCAUGUAAUUUAGAAGGUCCACUUCAAAAGUUCGAUGCUGUGUCGAGCUGGAGGGCUCAAGCUGCAAACCUGUCAUCAUCCCCCCAGGCCGUCUGUGCUGCAGCUCCCAGUAGCUCCCAGUAGCUUACAGACCUACCUUUGUGAAAAGGAACUAGGCCACCAUAAUUACACACUUACUUACGAUUAUAUAAAAGUCAGUUUAAUGCAGUAAACCUACCAGUGAGAGUUGACUGCGGAGGCCAUUUGCAGAGCAGCCUGGUCAGGAAACUCAGAUUCGGGCUUCUCAUUGUUCCUGUUGUAGUGGAAAAUAGAAAAUUGUUAAUAGCCUAUAAACUAUAAAUCCAUGGAAAUCCAAGCCUUUCUUGUAAACUCUUGUCCAGAUAUAUUUACAUUCUGUCUCUAAACAUAGAGGUACAGGAGCAACAUAAUUUAUAAAAUUGACAUAAAUAAAAAUUAAUAAGUAAUUAAUGAUAUAAACUAGGGCGGCAUGGUGGUGUGGUGGGUGGCACCAUCGAUUCUCAGACGCGGCCCGGGUGCCUUUCUGUGCGGAGUUUGUUCUCCCCGCAACAUGCAGUAUAAUGUUCCUAAUAUGACUUGACUUAAAAAGUAUAUCAGUGUGUAAAAUAGAACUUAACAACUAUAAAUGAAUAUAAUUGAGGUGUUGUAUGUGUAAGGUAAGAACAGCUGCCUGAGGCCCAUCUGAAUUCAUAGGAGUAUAAAAUAGCUAUAAAGUAGCUUUAAAUUCAAUUUUAAGUAGCUUUAAAUGCAAAUCCUCGUGGAGUAUGUACUCUAACAGUAAUAUGUGAAUAUACUAAGUUGUAUUUCAAUAGUGAAUCAGAGUAAAAUCACUUUAGGAUGACCUUUGACCUAACCUUUAUGUGACCGCCUUUUAUUACAUAACUUACCCACUUCCUGAGAGUUUAGGUCUGCAUGUUGUAAUGGAAAAAUUUUGCCUUUGUGCUAUUUCUUAUCCAACACACUCGUCAUGUGCUGGUUAGGUGCAAUACUGAACAUUCUUACACAAACAUCUAAUCUCUUGUGCCCUGUCGUACAUCAAGUCUAAACAUCUGAUGUUCCAUUUGACUGACUAAUAAUUUAUGAUAUAUGUUUGUCUUUUACACCCGGACUCUGGCUCCAUCCUAUCUGACUCCCCACCAGACCCAAGGCUGGUAAAGCGAAUGCAUCUUGUCUUGGAAGCUCGGUGUUCCUUCCUUUGGAUAACAAGACAUGACGAUGCAGAAAAAUUGGCGUCUACGAACAGGAUCCGAUGCAGGUCGUCUGGACGGUGUGACCAGGGACGAUAGUCCUGAGGACUAGGGUCGCUCAGCCUCCAAACCUCUACAGCUGUUCUGAGUGGGAGGACUGCUCACCCGUCUGGAUCGCCUCUGACGAGAUCCAACGAACACAAAAUCCAACCUCUACUCGGCCCGGUGAGAGAGAUUCCGUUUUGUCGCGACUUAUCGAAGAAAAAAAAAGAAAAGAAAA